rnacentral:rRNA from 1 species
GGCUUAACACAUGCAAGUCGAACGGGCGUAGCAAUACGUCAGUGGCAGACGGGUGAGUAACGCGCGGGAACGUACCUUUUGGUUCGGAACAACACAGGGAAACUUGUGCUAAUACCGGAUAAGCCCUUACGGGGAAAGAUUUAUCGCCGAAAGAUCGGCCCGCGUCUGAUUAGCUAGUUGGUGAGGUAACGGCUCACCAAGGCGACGAUCAGUAGCUGGUCUGAGAGGAUGAUCAGCCACAUUGGGACUGAGACACGGCCCAAACUCCUACGGGAGGCAGCAGUGGGGAAUAUUGGACAAUGGGCGCAAGCCUGAUCCAGCCAUGCCGCGUGAGUGAUGAAGGCCCUAGGGUUGUAAAGCUCUUUUGUGCGGGAAGAUAAUGACGGUACCGCAAGAAUAAGCCCCGGCUAACUUCGUGCCAGCAGCCGCGGUAAUACGAAGGGAGCUAGCGUUGCUCGGAAUCACUGGGCGUAAAGGGUGCGUAGGCGGGUCUUUAAGUCAGAGGUGAAAUCCUGGAGCUCAACUCCAGAACUGCCUUUGAUACUGAGGAUCUUGAGUUCGGGAGAGGUGAGUGGAACUGCGAGUGUAGAGGUGAAAUUCGUAGAUAUUCGCAAGAACACCAGUGGCGAAGGCGGCUCACUGGCCCGAUACUGACGCUGAGGCACGAAAGCGUGGGGAGCAAACAGG